rnacentral:rRNA from 1 species
AACGCGAAGAACCUUACCUACCCUUGACAUCCUGCGAAUCUGACUGAGAGGUUAGAGUGCCGAAAGGAACGCAGAGACAGGUGCUGCAUGGCUGUCGUCAGCUCGUGUUGUGAGAUGUUGGGUUAAGUCCCGUAACGAGCGCAACCCUUGUCCUUAGUUGCCAGCAUUUAGUUGGGGACUCUAAGGAGACUGCCGGUGAGGAACCGGAGGAAGGCGGGGACGACGUCAAGUCAUCAUGGCCUUUAUGGGUAGGGCUACACACGUGCUACAAUGGGGCGUACAGAGGGUAGCCAACCUGCGAAGGGGAGCCAAUCUCUUAAAGCGCCUCGUAGUCCGGAUUGGAGUCUGCAACUCGACUCCAUGAAGUUGGAAUCGCUAGUAAUCGCGAAUCAGCAACGUCGCGGUGAAUACGUUCCCGGGCCUUGUACACACCGGAGUA